UUUGAGGGGAAUGUUGUCUGGCUCGAGGCCUUCGUUUCUCUUACAGAUCUGUUUGAAGAGAUCUCGGACCAGGCUUCAUUCCCCCCAAU
rnacentral:pre_miRNA from 1 species